rnacentral:rRNA from 1 species
CUCGUAGGCGGUUUGUCGCGUCGGGAGUGAAAACCCAGGUGCUUAACACCUGGCUUGCUUUCGAUACGGGCAGACUAGAGGUAUGCAGGGGAGAACGGAAUUCCUGGUGUAGCGGUGAAAUGCGCAGAUAUCAGGAGGAACACCGGUGGCGAAGGCGGUUCUCUGGGCAUGACCUGACGCUGAGGAGCGAAAGUGUGGGGAGCGAACA